rnacentral:rRNA from 1 species
UACGGAGGGAGCUAGCGUUGUUCGGAAUUACUGGGCGUAAAGCGCACGUAGGCGGCUUUGUAAGUUAGAGGUGAAAGCCCGGGGCUCAACUCCGGAACUGCCUUUAAGACUGCAUCGCUUGAAUCCAGGAGAGGUGAGCGGAAUUCCCAGUGUAGAGGUGAAAUUCGUAGAUAUUGGGAAGAACACCGGUGGCGAAGGCGGCGAGCUGGUCCAUUACUGACGCUGAGGCGCGACAGCGUGGGGAGCAAACAGG